AGUGAACGCUGGCGGUAGGCCUAACACAUGCAAGUCGAACGGCAGCACAGUAAGAGCUUGCUCUUACGGGUGGCGAGUGGCGGACGGGUGAGGAAUACAUCGGAAUCUACUUUUUCGUGGGGGAUAACGUAGGGAAACUUACGCUAAUACCGCAUACGACCUACGGUUGAAAGCAGGGGAUCUUCUGACCUUGCGCGAUUGAAUGAGCCGAUGUCGGAUUAGCUAGUUGGCGGGGUAAAGGCCCACCAAGGCGACGAUCCGUAGCUGGUCUGAGAGGAUGAUCAGCCACACUGGAACUGAGACACGGUCCAGACUCCUACGGGAGGCAGCAGUGGGGAAUAUUGGACAAUGGGCGCAAGCCUGAUCCAGCCAUACCGCGUGGGUGAAGAAGGCCUUCGGGUUGUAAAGCCCUUUUGUUGGGAAAGAAAAGCAGCAGGUUAAUACCCCGCUGUUCUGACGGUACCCAAAGAAUAAGCACCGGCUAACUUCGUG
rnacentral:rRNA from 1 species